rnacentral:rRNA from 1 species
AUACGGAGGGUGCAAGCGUUGUUCGGAAUCACUGGGCGUAAAGGGCGCGCAGGCGGUUUGGUAAGUCAGAUGUGAAAGCCCACGGCUCAACCGUGGAAGUGCAUUUGAAACUGUCAGACUUGAGUACUAGAGGGGAAAGUGGAAUUCCCGGUGUAGAGGUGAAAUUCGUAGAUAUCGGGAGGAAUACCGGUGGCGAAGGCGACUACCUGGCUGGAUACUGACGCUGAGGCGCGAAAGCGUGGGGAGCAAACAGGAUUAGAUACCCCAGUAGUCC